rnacentral:rRNA from 1 species
UACGAAGGGGGCUAGCGUUGUUCGGAUUUACUGGGCGUAACGCGCACGUAGGCGGAUCGUUAAGUCGGGGGUGAAAUCCUGGAGCUCAACUCCAGAACUGCCUUCGAUACUGGCGAUCUUGAGUCCGGAAGAGGUGAGUGGAACUCCUAGUGUAGAGGUGGAAUUCGUAGAUAUUAGGAAGAACACCAGUGGCGAAGGCGGCUCACUGGUCCGGUACUGACGCUGAGGCGCGAAAGCGUGGGGAGCGAACAGG